AACGAACGCUGGCGGCAGGCCUAACACAUGCAAGUCGAACGCCGUAGCAAUACGGAGUGGCAGACGGGUGAGUAACACGUGGGAACGUACCCUUCGGUUCGGAAUAACUCAGGGAAACUUGAGCUAAUACCGGAUACGUCCGAGAGGAGAAAGAUUUAUCGCCGAGGGAUCGGCCCGCGUCUGAUUAGCUUGUUGGUGAGGUAAAGGCUCACCAAGGCUACGAUCAGUAGCUGGUCNGAGAGGAUGAUCAGCCACAUUGGGACUGAGACACGGCCCAAACUCCUACGGGAGGCAGCAGUGGGGAAUCUUGCGCAAUGGGCGAAAGCCUGACGCAGCCAUGCCGCGUGAAUGAUGAAGGUCUUAGGAUUGUAAAAUUCUUUCACCGGGGACGAUAAUGACGGUACCCGGAGAAGAAGCUCCGGCUAACUUCGUGCCAG
rnacentral:rRNA from 1 species